AUAGAAGACAACGGUGGAGAUGGUGAUGAUGUCACUAACCCUACGUUCGCCGCGACGAACAAAACCCGUAUAAUCUGUUUUGUUCUACAGUACAGCCAUCUCCAUGUAUGUGUGUUGCUUUUGAAGUGGAAGAAUGCCUGUAUGUCUUCUUGUUGAGUGAAACCAGCUUCUCUUCCACUGCUUCCAUAGUUGUGAUCAAGGUCUCGUAUGAAUGAAAUUGAAGACAGAAGUUCAGUGAUAGUUAGUAGAUGAGGUGAAAACAUUGUAUAGUUCAUUUUGACUUGUGUACCCCCUUUUUUUUAAUACCAAAAACAGAGCAGCAUCUUCAAUAAACAAGCCAUUCCAGACAAUUGCUACAUACUAGGCUGACAGCUAGAGGCAGGCAAAUGACUGAGAUACCCUCUCAAUCGGACCAAGCUCCCUCCAAUAGGCAGUUGAAGGAGGAAUGACAGAAGCGCAAUGCCCACCAGAUGUGCUGGGACAGGGGAAGAUAGGGUAGAGCUAUCCAAUGACAAGAAGAAGCCCUUGGAGAAAAUACAUUAAGCCCAUGGGUUACAGCUACCACCACUGUAAAACACAACAAGAACUGGAGAGGCCUGAGAGCAACUGUACAACAGGCUUCAAUCCCAGCCACCAGAAUCACCCAUCCUAAGCAUAACAACCAGCAAGGCUGUGGAGCUUGUUUUCGCCUGAUAAUUACUUACUGGGUAAAUGUCUACGUAGAGUUCUGAACCCCUUAUUAAAUAUGCAUUUUCUUGUGGUUGUUAAAUGGAUACAAGUUAAUGUGAUUUUGACAAGAAAACACAAUUCAAUAGGAGUUCCAUUAGUUUAUGUUGGAUUAAUCAGAGACUAAGCGUAUAAAUGGUGAAUUCUAUAAAAAAAAAAAAAUCUCGUGAUUCAGAAGAAAAAAAGCUGUGACCAAAGUUUGACACUGGCCACCAACUUGAUGCAACCCUCCUUUAUUUAGGCCUGGAACCCGUUAGAAGAGAAUAUAAUAUACCUUCAUCUAUGUAUUUCUAGUAGUGCAUGUAGAUGCUGGAUUUUUGCCUAUUUCUGGUUUACUUGUGGGUGAUAUUUUUGUAGAUGUAUAUUUCUAUCAUAUGUGACUUUAUUUCUGUACUCUACAUGGCACACAAUGAUAUUUGGUCUGAGGAAAGGUUCCCUUUGUAAUGUAGGCAUGGGUGUUUUCCAUGGGCCACUGUAUUAUUUGCCUUUUGGGGUUCUUCUUAAUAAAAGUUUCCAUCAUCAUCUAAGCCUUAUCCCAACUAAUUGUGGUCGGUUAAUAAAACUGUUUAUCAAUUAAAGAAAAGGACAGUCUAAAAUAGAAAGUUUGGGGAUAUCCUAAAACAAAGAAAAAAAAAAAAAGAAGAAAAGAAGAAAUGGGAAUAUCAGCUUUGCUGAAUAUUUUAUAUUUUUAGAUCUUUUGUUAGCAACUUUUGUUUCAUCAGGUAUGUUAAGUCGGGUCCUUACUCAUGCCUCAGAGGUAGACUCACGAGAGUUUCAACACAAGGUCAUGGGUUCGAGUACCCAUCGUGAUAUAAAAAAGCCACUGUGGUUUGAGUGCAUGGGUGUGUGUGGGGUGUGAGUGCAUGUGUAAAAAAAAGGGUAUGUAAGUUUUGAGCCAUGGUGUAACUUGGUUAUUCAAUUUCAGGAUCCACAUAAUUUCAAUCAUCGUGCAUUUCAAAAGGCAGUAUGUGGAAUGAGAAAUUUGGAUUAGUCUUUCCUAUUGUUUUUGGUGCCAUAAAUCUAUAUACCCUUCUUUCCCCUGUACAUGGCAUUGAUCUGUUUAUUUUGUUUUAUUAUAUUUCAUGCUAAUGGGUGAGCAAUUUUCGCUGUAUACUUGCCCGAUAUGCAACUCUAGACAUGGUUCCCUUUAGUGCUAUAAGGUAGGUUGGUAAAUCUACUUGGACUAGGAGGCAUUUCCAGAGAGUUGUAAAUUGCUGGUCAUUAUGAAUUCAUGUUGCUAAAUGGGUGAUGACGUAUGUUGCCAAUGACUGUUACAUAUGCUUGGAUUAUCAUAAUAAUCUACUGCAACAUUUUAGUGAAAGACUUCUUAUUUUCUUUUUAGAAUUUGUUAGCUUAUAAUGAAUAUGGGUACAUUUUUAAUCUUUUCUUUAGUACAGUCACAUAUGACAGUCAUGAUGAAUAGAUUUUAAGUCUUUGUCGAAGUUCCCCAUUCAUUUCCUAGUAGGCACAAUGUCCCAACAUACCAAUAUAUUGCACUUCUCCACAGCUCCCAUGCUGGAUUAUAUAAUGGAAUAAUAUAGGGAGACACCCAAUUCCAGAGGCCUUUCGAUUGGUCCUGUGGGAUGGGGCCUUCAAAACCAUCUCCUUUUUCUAUUGUAUCCCUACAUUGCUAUUCCACAUCAUCUACAUCAGGACUCUUAACUGUGUUCAUUUUCAUUGACACAGGCUUUUCUUUUAUAGGGCUCUCUUUGGACAAGGAUGCUCGAAAAACUCUUGGAUUGAACAUUGCAACCUGUUGAUUAUACCAUGGCGACCAUUCAUUUUCAAACCAAAAUAGCCAAAUUAUCCAAGUGUGGAAUAAUCAAUUGAGCAUCCAUUUGUUGUCUUUUCCACCAUACAAAGUGGGAUGUGAUGUUAACAGUUUGGACUGUUGGAAGACGACCCGGAUUCAAAGGCUAAAGCCCUGAUGUGUCAUAUUGCAAUAAUUGGCAUUUUCAAAUGAUGUAAGAUUACCUGCUGGUGCAUGAAUGGAUAUUUCCACCGGUGAGGUCUGCUAAUCCAACUCAUGUCUACAUGGCGGCUCAUAUACCUGGCAUUGCAUGUGAGAAUAUGGCACACAGGUUCUAGAUCGAAGCUGUCCAUUAGGUGGUUCACACUGUUUACAUGCCCAUGCUGAAAAUCAGGCUGAUCUGAUGACCGAACUCCACUAAGUUUCUUUGAAGAGAAGGCACCAAGAUCCCGUGCUUUGGAUAAAUAUAAGUUUGGGCAGUCCAUUGAACACACAUGCCAGUUCAUUGAGAAGCUGGAGAAAGAGCUGGAAGACACUACUAUAGGCACAUUUCUCUCUACAGAAGGGUAAAGAGGCUCCUGCUGAAAAUCCCGUAGCUAAUAUCUGAUGUUAUUUUCCUUUUUCUAUUUUUAUUUCUAUGGAAAUAACCUUUUCUCAAUGAAAUUAAAAAGGAUAAAAAAAAACUCUCCA